UUAUAUGGAGAGUUUGAUCCUGGCUCAGGACGAACGCUGGCGGCGUGCCUAAUACAUGCAAGUCGAGCGGACGGAUGGGAGCUUGCUCCCUGAAGUCAGCGGCGGACGGGUGAGUAACACGUGGGCAACCUGCCUGUAAGACUGGGAUAACUUCGGGAAACCGGAGCUAAUACCGGAUAAUGCAUUUCCCUUCAUGGGGAUAUGCUGAAAGAUGGUUUCGGCUAUCACUUACAGAUGGGCCCGCGGCGCAUUAGCUAGUUGGUGAGGUAACGGCUCACCAAGGCAACGAUGCGUAGCCGACCUGAGAGGGUGAUCGGCCACACUGGGACUGAGACACGGCCCAGACUCCUACGGGAGGCAGCAGUAGGGAAUCUUCCGCAAUGGACGAAAGUCUGACGGAGCAACGCCGCGUGAGUGAUGAAGGUUUUCGGAUCGUAAAACUCUGUUGUCAGGGAAGAACAAGUGCCGGAGUAACUGCCGGCACCUUGACGGUACCUGACCAGAAAGCCACGGCUAACUACGUGCCAGCAGCCGCGGUAAUACGUAGGUGGCAAGCGUUGUCCGGAAUUAUUGGGCGUAAAGCGCGCGCAGGCGGUCUCUUAAGUCUGAUGUGAAAGCCCACGGCUCAACCGUGGAGGGUCAUUGGAAACUGGGGGACUUGAGUGCAGAAGAGGAAAGUGGAAUUCCACGUGUAGCGGUGAAAUGCGUAGAGAUGUGGAGGAACACCAGUGGCGAAGGCGACUUUCUGGUCUGUAACUGACGCUGAGGCGCGAAAGCGUGGGGAGCAAACAGGAUUAGAUACCCUGGUAGUCCACGCCGUAAACGAUGAGUGCUAAGUGUUAGAGGGUUUCCGCCCUUUAGUGCUGCAGC
rnacentral:rRNA from 1 species